rnacentral:rRNA from 1 species
CAGCACCUCAAGUGGUCAGGAUGAUUAUUGGGCCUAAAGCAUCCGUAGCCGGCGCUGUAAGUUUUCGGUUAAAUCUGUACGCUCAACGUACAGGCUGCCGGGAAUACUGCAGCGCUAGGGAGUGGGAGAGGUAGACGGUACUCGGUAGGAUGGGGUAAAAUCCUUUGAUCUAUUGAUGACCACCUGUGGCGAAGGCGGUCUACCAGAACACGUCCGACGGUGAGGGAUGAAAGCUGGGGGAGCAAACCGGAUUAGAUACCCGAGUAGUCC